rnacentral:rRNA from 1 species
CGAGUUUGAUCCUGGCUCCGAGUGAAUGCUAGCGAUAUGCUUAACACAUGCAAGUCGAACGAAAUUUUUUUAGUGGCGUCCGAGUGAGUAAUGUGCGAGAAUGCGAUCUGCAUACUGUUUAAAUAGCAGAUAAAUGCUUGUUUGUUUAUUAAUUAUAAAACAGUCGGGUUAAAGACUAUAGGUCGAUGUAUGAAAGCGCUCGCAUAAGAUUAGGUAGUUGGUAGUGUAAAAGACUACAAAGCCGGUGAUCUUUAGCUGGUCUGGGAGGAUCGUCAGCCACGUUGGGACUGAAAAAGGCCCAACCUUCGUUGAGGAGGCAGCAGUGAGGAAUAUUGGACAAUGGGCGAAAGCUUGAUCCAGCAAAGUCGCGUGGGGGAUAAGUUAUAGCAAUUUUGCUAGAAGGGCGGUUGUAAACUCCUUUCUAUAAAUAACAUUAUGCGUGUAUUUAUAGAAUAAGCUCUGACUAACUUCGUGCCAGCAGUCGCGGUAAAACGGAGAGAGCUAGUGUUACUCAAAUUAACUGGGCGUAAAGGGCGCGUAGGUGACUUGUUAAGUUAACAGUAAAAGGCUGAUUCUUUUUGAAUCUUAAUGCUGUUAUUACUAUUUAGAUAGAGUUUUGGAGAGGGCAGCAGUACGUUUAGAGGAGGGGUAACAUCCUAAGAUACUAAAUGGACUACCGAUGGCGAAGGCAGCUACCUGGACAUAACUGACACUGAGGCGCGAAAGCAUGGGGAGCAAACAGAAUUAGAGACUCUGGUAGUCCAUGCCCUAAACGAUGAGUGUUCACAAUCAGAUUUUCUAAGUUUGGUUGUUUAGCUAACGCGUUAAACACUCCGCCUGAGAACUACGAUCGCAAGGUUGAAACUUAAAGGAAUUGACGGAAGGUCAAACAAGCGGUGGAGAAUGUGGCUUAAUUCGACAUAACGCGUAAAAUCUUACCAGCACUAGGUGCAACGUUUAGACUUGAACGAGAGUUUGGGUUAGUAUUUUAGAUUGAAUAUUUUCAGUUUAGGUUAGCGUUGAGCAGGUGAUGCAUGGCUGUCGUCAGCUCGUGUCGUGAGGCGUAUGAUUAAGUUCUAUAACGAGCGCAACCCCCGUAGAUAGUUAAAAUAUUAUUUAGAUCGCUGAGGAAAUCUUAGAGGAA